UUGCACGUUGCACCCUGGGCUUCUCUGAAAUUUACAAUAAUGAUGAUGCCAAGCCCCAAUGCUCAUGUUAUAUUCUGCCGCUUGUGCUGCAGUUUAUUCGCCUCUUUGUUUUACGUUUGAUCUGUGUCUAAAGAACGACCACAUCU